UCCCUCUCAGGGUCGCACCUGGAGAUAUUCCAGUAGUCUACCAGUCUUGGCUGUGGGAAGGAGAAUCAAGCAGAGGCACAUCCCUUCCGUUCCUAGCUUGGGCAGUGGCUGGCGAAUGGAAGGCACUCUGCUACAAGU